AUUGAACGCUGGCGGCAGGCCUAACACAUGCAAGUCGAGCGGAUGAAGGGAGCUUGCUCCUGGAUUCAGCGGCGGACGGGUGAGUAAUGCCUAGGAAUCUGCCUGGUAGUGGGGGAUAACGUCCGGAAACGGGCGCUAAUACCGCAUACGUCCUGAGGGAGAAAGUGGGGGAUCUUCGGACCUCACGCUAUCAGAUGAGCCUAGGUCGGAUUAGCUAGUUGGUGGGGUAAAGGCCUACCAAGGCGACGAUCCGUAACUGGUCUGAGAGGAUGAUCAGUCACACUGGAACUGAGACACGGUCCAGGCUCCUACGGGAGGCAGCAGUGGGGAAUAUUGGACAAUGGGCGAAAGCCUGAUCCAGCCAUGCCGCGUGUGUGAAGAAGGUCUUCGCAUUGUAAAGCACUUUAAGUUGGGAGGAAGGGCAGUAAGUUAAUACCUUGCUGUUUUGACGUUACCAACAGAAUAAGCACCGGCUAACUUCGUG
rnacentral:rRNA from 1 species